rnacentral:misc_RNA from 1 species
GAAAUGCGAUACGUAAUGUGAAUUGCAGGAUUCAGUGAAUCAUCAAAAUCUUGAACGCACAUGGCGCCCUCGAGUCUCCGGAUUCUGGGGCAUACCUGUUUGAGUGUCACUUACCCCUCCUCACAACACCACAAUUCGUUGUGGUUCGCUUGUGGACGUUGACCGUUGUGUGCAAGCGCAAGCGCGCGCACAUCGGUUUAAACUGAGCGGUGAGAAGUUGCUGGACAACUCCUCGAACAAUGGCUGGGUAAGUUCUUCGGAACAAACUAGCUUUUGGUCUUGGGUUCAUAGCUGUCUGCGGCAUCUUGCCUGCGCAGGAUUGCAGUGCCGACGUCGGUGCGCGAAGACCUAACGGUCGGAGAGCCCGUGUCGGUGCGGCAACGCAAACCCGUUGACCUCA